rnacentral:rRNA from 1 species
UCCGUAGGUGGAUAAUUAAGUCAGGGGUGAAAGUCUGCAGCUCAACUGUAGAAUUGCCUUUGAUACUGGUUAUCUUGAAUUAUUAUGAAGUAGUUAGAAUAUGUAGUGUAGCGGUGAAAUGCAUAGAUAUUACAUAGAACACCAAUUGCGAAGGCAGAUUACUAAUAAUAUAUUGACACUGAUGGACGAAAGCGUGGGGAGCUAACAGGAUUAGAUACCCUGGUAGUCC